rnacentral:tRNA from 1 species
UAGGUUGAAGCCCGCUGGCUUGGGUUUUUAGUUGUUAAUUAAAGUUUUAUGGGAUCGAAGCCCAUCGGCCUAGU